CAAUAACGGAGAACUCGAUAUGGAAGUAUAAGAACAGACAACAUUGUAUCGUUCAAAACUGGGCAAGUUUCCCCCAUAAGGUGGCAUAAGGAACUCCUGACCUCUGCCUUACUGGAGAGCACACCCUGCCAUCAGAGUACAACUCAUCCUGGCAAACUAGAACUUUCUCUGAAUUCUCUUCAGCUCAGCUAACUUGCGAGCCACCGCCCUGCCACCUCGUCAGCCACAUGCAAAGUUGGCAGUCCCUCAUGGCUGCUCACUGCGGGUUCUUCCACACAUGGAGGACAUCCUUUGGUGCUCAGCAAAGCAGAAGAAAACAGGCCUAUUUCCUAAGGCUCUCCACAUGA
rnacentral:lncRNA from 1 species